rnacentral:lncRNA from 1 species
AAAAAAAAAAAAAAAUUAGCUGACCACGGUGGCAGGCGCCUGUGAUCCCAGCUACUUCAGGAGGCCGAGGCAGGAGAAUCACUUGAACCCAGGAGGCGGAGGUUGCAGUGAGCCGAGAUCGUGACAUGGCACUGCAGCCUGGGUGACGAGAGCAAAACUAUGGCUCAAAAAGAAAAGAAAAGAUGAUGCUGAGUGAGAGAAGCCAGAUGACACAAAAGUCUACUUGUAUGAUUCCAUUUAUAUGACGUGUCAGCAGAAAAACAAACCCGUAGAGACAGAAAGCAGAUGAGUGGUUUCCAGGGUCCGGGGAAGGGAAAAGGGAAGUGACUGCUAACGGGUAAGGCAUUAGCUUUAGUUAGUUGAUUUCUUUUUGGGGUGAUGAAUAUUCUGGAAUUAACGGUGAUGGUUGCACAACUUUGUGACUAUACUAAAAACACUAAAUUGUAUAGUUUCAGAGAGAAAUUUUAUAGUGUGUAAACUACAUCUCAAUUAAAAAAAAAAAAAGUAAAAAGAAAACGCUGCAUAAGCCUCCCGUGGGGUUAAAAUAAGAGUAAGAGAAAAAAACAUGACUUCAUUGUGUGGGUGCCUGUGUUGAAGAUGAUUUAGUAGCUUCUGCCGUGAGGCAUUUGCUAGAAUAAAAUCCUUUCUGCCCUCAUCAUUGUCAGCACACUGGUUCGGGCCUUUAGCACUCCUACCUGGAUCGUGGAACUAAAGAAUUUUAGCAGCUGACAAGGACCUUAAAGAUUGUAGCCUAACUCUCUCGCUUGUCAGGGGAGGCAGCUGGUGCCAGGCAGAAGAAGUGGCAUGUUUGGAGUGGCCUGCCUGGUGUCUGAGCCACACCUGACACCCAGUGUUCUUUCCACUGGGCCUUUAUUGCAAUUGUUUUCCUCUCUCUUUAGUCUCUUCCUGCUCCAGUAGGAUUGUACAUUCCACUGACCUAAUCUUCCCGAAAUACAGAUCUCAUCACGUCACUGCCCUGCUGAAAAAACCCACAGUGGCUCCCCACUGCCUUCAGGCCCAGACCCCGGGAGCCUCCUUCACCUUCUGUCCACUUCUUGGCUCUCAUGGCUUCCUAAACAAACUCCCUUUGCCACUGCAGCACAUGGCGUGUGUCCCAAUAUCACGCUUCUGGGCACAUGUUGUUAAUCCACUUUGCAUAUGUUUAUGUCUUUGUGGCUCAGCUAGAUUGCAAGUUUCUCGGAGACCAGGAUCAUGCCUUUGACCUCCUGACACAGGGCACAGUGCAAUUCCUUGUACUUGUUAGGGGUCUGGAAAUAUUUGUAGAUUAGUUGAUUUCAUUCACAACCACAGCUAGUCUUCACCUGGUACACCUAAGAAUAUCUUGGAGGAGGCCGGUUGCGGUGGCUCAUGCCUGUAAUCCCAGCACUUUGGGAGGCUGAGGUGGGCGGAUCACGAGGUCAGGAGAUCGAGACCAUCCUGGCCAACAUGGCGAAACCCUGUCUCUACUAAAAAUACAAAAAAAAAAAAACAAAAAAUUAGCUGGGCGUGGUGGCAUGCGCGUGUAGUCCCAGCUACUUGGGUGGCUGAGACAGGAGAAUGGCUUGAACCAUGGAGUUGGAGGUUGCAGUGAGUCGAGAUCAUGCCACAGCACUCCAGCCUGGUGACAGAGUGAGACUCCAUCUCAAAAAAAGAAAAAAGAAAAAAUCUUAGAGGAGUUCUGGCAACAGGUCACUGUUUUAUGCUGCGUCUCUCAUGAGUUUAACUUUUGGGUGUAAUCUGGACAAGAAGAUUCUCGAAACCUCCUAUGAGAUUGGAUUUACUGUCAAAAAAGCAAAACACACUGACUUCAAAAGAAAAAAGCAAACAUUAUUUUUGAAACAACCUUUUAAUUUCUUAUAGAAGUACUGUAAUUUGUGUUCUUGGAGAUUUAGAAAAUUCAGAGAAAGUUCCAAGAAAAUAAAGAAGAAAAUUGAAAGCUCCCAUAAUCCUAGCCCCUAGGGGCUGUCUAUUGAUAAUCUUUCAUUUUUACAGCCAUUUUUCUAUGCACACACAAACACCACAUAUAUAUUCUUUACAAAAAUGAGAUUCCACUCUGUAUACUGUUUUAUAUCAUGCUUUUAAAUUAAGAUAAAAAUUAAAAUUUAAUAGGACUGCAUUAAGUGGGAACAAUUUUGCUGCUGUCAACUCGAGAGAGCAUUCCAAUGACACAGAGAAAGAGCAACUCCCUAUUUGUUUUGCUUCUUUGCAAAACAAACAGGGUAAGAAGAGUUCUGAGAACUAAGGGGCAAGGUGCCUUCCUAGCUGCCGACUUGAGUUGGGCGUGGAGUUGCUUCAUCUCCUUCUCUGUGUCUCCUCACCAGUUCUAUUGAAGGAAUUGGAGCUUGUACCCAUGAAGGUCCUUUUCUAGUUUUUGGAUUUUGUAAGCUUUGUUUUACAUUUCUCCCAUCCCUUCUUUGUGAAUAUUUCAGAGCCCUCUACUCAAGAGGGUAGGGGAUGUGGCUACUUUGUUCCCUGUUUUGUUGCCAGCAUGGUGCCUGGCAAAGAAUAG